UCUCAAAUGCCGUAUUUGUCUGAGAGUAUGUUUUUUAUUUUUUUGCAGCUCUGAUGUACGACUAUUACUUGGCAGAGACAUUCAACAGCUUCUGAUGUGCCUGAUUUUCAGUGUGAGGCUGUUCCUGGUCUCAUUGUUACUUUCCUCGCUACAUUUCUCUGGUAUAAGGAUUUCUGCCUGAGUAUGACAAUCUCCCAUCCUUGCAAGAGUCUGAAGGCUAGUAUUCUAAGCACAACCAGGUGGUGAUCACAUGACCACUGGAAAGAAACCAAGUAGACAAGAAACAGAUUUCCUGUGUAAAAAAAUCCAAGAAAAUAAUACUGAAGAAAUCAAAGAUUAUAAAAACAAAUUAUUUUCUCUGGUUCCUGUUUAUGGCUUCUUACUCCAGUCUGGUUCCCUACUGCUCCUCUCGGGGAAUAACUUCAGGUAA
rnacentral:lncRNA from 1 species